GGAGAGUUGCCUGAGUGGUUAAUGGAGCAGUUUGCUAAACUGUAGGUUUAACCUCGUGAGUUCGAAUCUCACACUCUCCG
rnacentral:tRNA from 2 species